rnacentral:misc_RNA from 1 species
ACUACCGGGGUAUCUAAUCCUGUUUGCUCCCACGCUUUCGUGCAUGAGCGUCAGUGUUAUCCCAGGAGGCUGCCUUCGCCAUCGGUGUUCCUCCGCAUAUCUACGCAUUUCACUGCUACACGCGGAAUUCCACCUCCCUCUGACACACUCUAGCUCGGUAGUUAAAAAUGCAGUUCCAAAGUUAAGCUCUGGGAUUUCACAUCUUUCUUUCCGAACCGCCUGCGCACGCUUGCAUGUUCCGAUUAGCACCCUACGUAUUACCGCGGCUGCUGGCACGUGAGCCAGCCGGUGCUUAUUCUGCAGGUACCGAUAGUUGCGCAGUUAUUAUCCGUGCCGUUUCUUCUCCUGCCAAAAGUGCUUUACAACCCGAAGGCCUUCAUCGCACAUGAGAUGGCUGGAUCAGGGUUUCCCCAUUGUCAAAAUUCCCCACUGCUGCGCCCCGUA